rnacentral:rRNA from 1 species
GACGAACGCUGGCGGCGUGCUUAACACAUGCAAGUCGAGCGGAGCGGCGAACGGGUGAGUAACGCGUGAGUAACUGCCCCCCUCUCUGGGAUAACAGUUGGAAACGGCUGCUAAUACCGGAUAGUGGGGGAUGACUCGCGUCCUAUCAGCUUGUUGGUGGGGUAGUGGCUGACCAAGGCGGCGACGGGUAGCCGGCCUGAGAGGGCGACCGGCCACAGUGUGCUGGGUUGCGGCCCAAACGCGUACGGGGGGCAGCAGGGGGGAAUAUUGCACAAUGGGGGAAACUCUGAUGCAGCAACCCGGGUGCGGGAUGACGGCCUGCGGGUUGUAAACCGCUUUCAGCCAUGAGGCGGUAGUGGCAGAAGAAGCACCGGCUAACUACGUGCCAGCAGCCGCGGUAAUUC